CCCCUGGCCCAGGACCCACCUGCCCCUUUGGCCGAACAGGAGGAAGAGGACACAGAAGAUGAUGCAGGUGACCCCGAUGUGGAUGCCGAUGACGAUGCCUGUGGUGGACGUCUGAUCACGCUUUGGGAAAUGUGGGACCAGAUGGUCCUUGCAAUGCCUGUGGGCUCCUCCUAAUGGACAUGGGAGUUGGGAAACCAGCUCCAGCCCGGAUGCCUGGUCCAGUGGGGGCACAGAGGGGACGCCAGGGGCCCCAGAAUGGCGCGGACAUCCAUGCCUAGGCUCCGGGGGCAUCACCAUGGACAAGCCUCUCAUAGCAGAAGAGUCCCUGGGGUAAGUGGAGGAUGGGCUUGCUGGAGUGGAACUGAGCCAGGGAACAGGCCACAGUCCCUCUGAACCCCCACUAUGAGCAGCACAGAGCCUUGAGCUUAGAAGAUGCUCUGUAUGCAUUUGGCUGACAAGACUCCAAAGUCAGUUGAAGAGGGACUGAUUUGAGGGUGGGGAGAAGUCA